UUAAGUUCAGCGGGUAGUCUCACCCGAUUUGAGGUCAAGGUUUAUAAGGUCGAGUCACAACUCGAAGUUGGAAGCGAGAACGGUGCGAAACCCCAAGACGUAGAAGCGUACUUAUCACGUCGAGGAUCGGCACGCCGGACCCCACUAAUUCAUUUAGGAGGAGCUGGCUUCAAAACAAGGCCAGCAAUGAAAACCUCCAA
rnacentral:misc_RNA from 1 species